AUUGAACGCUGGCGGCAGGCCUAACACAUGCAAGUCGAACGAGUGGCGGACGGGUGAGUAAUGUCUGGGAAACUGCCUGAUGGAGGGGGAUAACUACUGGAAACGGUAGCUAAUACCGCAUACUACCAGAUGGGCCCAGAUGGGAUUAGCUAGCUGGUGGGGUAAAGGCUCACCAAGGCGACGAUCCCUAGCUGGUCUGAGAGGAUGCCCAGCCACACUGGAACUGAGACACGGUCCAGACUCCUACGGGAGGCAGCAGUGGGGAAUAUUGCACAAUGGGCGCAAGCCUGAUGCAGCCAUGCCGCGUGUAUGAAGAAGGCCUUCGGGUUGUAAAGUACUUUCAGCGGGGAGGCGUUACCCGAAGAAGAAGCACCGGCUAACUCCGUGCCAGCAGCCGCGGUAAUUC
rnacentral:rRNA from 1 species